rnacentral:ncRNA from 1 species
ACUGAAAACAUACACUCUAGCCCUGGCGCCUGUGUCGAGAGAUAUGGCGCCCUGGCCGUGGCGGAUUUGCCACCAGGGUACAGAAAGAAAUGACUGUGCCUCCCGAUCUGGAAAGGUGUACAUGGCUUCACAAC